rnacentral:rRNA from 1 species
GACGAACGCUGGCGGCGUGCCUAACACAUGCAAGUCGAACGGAACUGUUUUGAAAGAUUUCUUCGGAAUGAAUUUGAUUUAGUUUAGUGGCGGACGGGUGAGUAACGCGUGAGUAACCUGCCUUCAAGAGGGGAAUAACAUUCUGAAAAGAAUGCUAAUACCGCAUGACAUAUCGGAACCACAUGGUUUUGAUAUCAAAGAUUUUAUCGCUUGAAGAUGGACUCGCGUCCGAUUAGUUAGUUGGUGAGGUAACGGCUCACCAAGACCGCGAUCGGUAGCCGGAAUGGGGGGUUGAACGGCCACCUUGGGACUGAGACACCGCCCCGACUCCUACGGGAGGGAGGAGUGGGGGAUAUUGCGCAAUGGGGGCAACCCUGACGGAGCAACGGCGCGUGAAGGAAGAAGGUUUUUGGAUUGUAAAAUUCUUUUAUUAAGGACGAAAAAUGACGGUACUUAAUGAAUAAGCUCCGGCUAACUACGUG